GCCGACGUAGCUUAGCCCGGUAGAGCGGCUGACUUGUAAUCAGCAGGUCGGGAGUCCGAAUCUCCCCGUCGGCU
rnacentral:tRNA from 1 species